rnacentral:tRNA from 1 species
CCGUGGUGUAGUGGUUAACACGUCUGCCUGUCACGCAGAAGAUCGAGGGUUCAAGUCCCUUCGGA